ensembl:lncRNA
AGAUUGCAUUCAGAUCAGAAUGUUUUCACUGUGGGAGGAAGGAGGCUUGUUGGCUCUGCCCUGGGGGUUCUCUCCGCAUCUCUUUGCCUGAUCUGUGCCUUGUGGGUGGGACACAGGCCCAGAGGGAUACACCUGGGAGCUGCUUCUUGGGGAGCUCUUUUCAGCCCCACUAGAGCUAUUGGACAAAGGGACUUGGUCACAGGAGUGGCUAGUAGGUGCUUGGGGCCUGAGCAGCAGCUGCCCAGGCAGCUCAGGGAAGGUUUUUUCCUUCUCCUCACUGAUCCAUGUGUUGGCAGUCACUUUUCCCUGGCUGGGAGAUCAACCCUUCUCUCUUUGCAAAAGCUGGGGUAUUUUGCAAGGGCUUACGUGUUGCAGGCUUCUGUCUCAAAGUCUAGUCAUGAGAGGAACCUCUGCUGGGUCCCACAUUCUAGAGUGACAGGGAAGACUGCACCUUCUAGAAGAUGCCCGCAGACCUCUGAUGCUCUACCAUGUCCACAGUGGAAGGUAGCAUUAGGGACCUGCCAGAUACUUUCUGGAAAAUGGCCAUGCCAGAGAAUUUGGGCAAAGCAGAUGCCUGACUUGACUGGGGGCCCAUGUCUAGGGCAGGGUAAGGAAACUUAGGGCUAAUGUCUAGAGAAAUAAGGGCCAUGCUGAUGAGAUGACAGUCAUGAAAAAUUCCUAUUUCUCCUCUUGUACUUGUCCCAUUAGAGAGAAUACCCUUAGGUAUCUUCUGGAGAGUGAAUUAGAGCAUAGGAUAUGAAAAAACUGUGGUAAGUGAGUGGAAGAAUUGUUUGAACAUGAGACAAAACCAGAACCUUGAGGGCAAUACAGCUGUUUCUGUGGCUCUUGAGUUUGGCAAAUUUGUAAUUAGGUGAGUGUAGGUUUUUGUUUCUGUUUUAUACAGAAUGCUUUUAGCCCCCAGCCCCUCAUUAAAAAUAACCAUUAAACAAUACAAAGAACUUAAACUUGGGUCAUAAUUGUAAUAAGUCCAAGCCCUUAAAGUACAGGGACCUGCCCGAGCCACACUGACAGCUGCUUGUUGUCUGUUGCAGGGGAGAAGUUGGUCUCUUUGGCUUCUCUUCCUGCCUCUUGGGGGGAAUCUGGUACAUUUCCAGGUGGUUGUCUGCACUGCCUUAGGAUCUUUUAGACAGAAUUCCAGAAAGGUGCUCCAAGAUUGCUCUGUGGUCAUCUGGCUCUCAGUUCUUCUUUGAGUCUAACUAAAGUCUGUAUCUCUUCCCCAUCAAGCAACUACUUGUUUUCUCAGUCCAGCCGUAAUAACUGUCAAAAUAAUGGGAAUCCCUUAUAUGCAUGUAGCAUUUACGAUUCUCAAAGCAUUUUCACGUAUGUUUAAUCUCAGGCAUAACUGUUCUCAGGUUCUCUUGACUCGUAAGCAAAGAAACAGUUUUAGCCAGAAAUUCUUGCCCACCAAGCACAUUUGUGGGGGCGACAACGACAACAACGCAUCUUGUUGUCGUUGUUCAGUCGCUAAGUUUUAAGUAAUAGUCAGUCAUGUCUGACUCCUUGUGACCCCAUGGACUGUAGCCCACCAGGCUNNNNNNNNNNNNNNNNNNNNNNNNNNNNNNNNNNNNNNNNNNNNNNNNNNNNNNNNNNNNNNNNNNNNNNNNNNNNNNNNNNNNNNNNNNNNNNNNNNNGACUCCUUGUGACCCCAUGGACUGUAGCCCACCAGGCUCCUCUGCCCAUGAAAUUCUCAAGAAUUUCAUGGCAAAAAUACUGAAGUGGGUAUUCCUUUCUCCAGGUAAUCUUCUUCACCCAGAGAUCGAACCCUGGUCUCCUGCUUUGCAGGCAGAUUCUGAGCUACCUGGAAAACUAAGUUAUGUUCAGCUCUUUGUGACUAUAUGCCCCGCAGCAUGCCAAGCUUCCCUGUCCUUCAUCGUCUCUCAGAUUCAUGUCCACUGAAUCAGUGAUGCUAUCCAACUGUCUCACCCUCUGCUGCCCUCUUCUCCUCCUGCCUUCAGUCUUCCCCAGCAUCAGGGGCUUUUCCAGUGAGUUGACCCUUUGCAUCAGGUGGCCAAAGUAUUAGAGCUUUAGCCUCAGAAUCAGUCCCUCCAGUGAAUAUUCAGGGUUGAUUUCCUUUAGGAUUGACUG